CCUACGGGUGGCAGCAGUGGGGAAUAUUGCACAAUGGGGGAAACCCUGAUGCAGCAACGCCGCGUGAGUGAUGAAGGAAUUCGGAUUGUAAAACUCUGUUAUUAGGGAAGAAAAUGACGGUAAGUGAAAAAGCAGGUCCGGCUAAAUACGGGCCAGCAGCCGCGGUAAUACGGCGGGAGCAAGCGUUAUCCGGAAUUACUGGGUGGAAAGGGGGCGCAGGUGGGAGAGCAAGUCCGAUGUGAAAACCAAAGGCUCAACUGUGGGAAUGCAUUAGAAACUGAUCAGCUUGAGUGCAGGAGAGGCAAGUGGAAUUCUUAGUGUAGCGGUGAAAUGCGUAGAGAUUAGGAGGAACACCAGUGGCGAAGGCGGCUUUCUGGUCUGUAACUGACGCUGAGGCUCGAAAGCGUGGGGAGCAAACAGGAUUAGAUACCCGAGUAGUC
rnacentral:rRNA from 1 species